AAUAUUGGACAAUGGGGGCAACCCUGAUCCAGCCAUGCCGCGUGUGUGAAGAAGGNCUNNGGAUUNUNAAGCACUUUAAGUUGNNNNNAAGGGAUUUAGGGUAAUACACGGCAGUUUUGACGUUACCAACAGAUUAAGCACCGGCCAACUCUGUGCCAGCAGCCGCGGUAAUCCAGAGGGUGCAAGCGUUAAUCGGAAUUACUGGGCGUAAAGCGCGCGGAGGGAGUUCAGUAAGAUGGGUGUGAAAUCCCCAGGCUUAACCUGGGAACUGCUUUCAUAACUGCUGAGCUAGAGUACGGUAGAGGGUAGUGGAAUUUCCUGUGUAGCGGUGAAAUGCGUAGAUAUAGGAAGGAACACCAGUGGCGAAGGCGACUACCUGGACUGAUACUGACACUGAGGUGCGAAAGCGUGGGGAGCAAAC
rnacentral:rRNA from 1 species